rnacentral:rRNA from 1 species
GAUGAACGCUGGCGGCGUGCCUAAUACAUGCAAGUCGAACGCAUUGAGAGAAGUGCUUGCACUUUUCAAUUUGAGUGGCGAACGGGUGAGUAACACGUGGGCAACCUACCUGAUAGCGGGGGAUAACGAGUGGAAACAUUCGCUAAUACCGCAUAACAAUAGAGAAGGCAUCUUCUUUAUUUAAAAGGCGCUUUCAAGCGUCCCUAUCAGAUGGGCCCGCGGUGCAUUAGUUAGUUGGUGGGGUGAAGGCCUACCAAGACGAUGAUGCAUAGCCGAGUUGAGAGACUGAUCGGCCACAGUGGGACUGAGACACGGCCCAAACUCCUACGGGAGGCUGCAGUAGGGAAUCUUCCACAAUGGACGAAAGUCUGAUGGAGCAACGCCGCGUGUGUGAUGAAGGCUUUCGGGUCGUAAAGCACUGUUGUAUGGGAAGAAAUGCUAGGCUAGGAAAUGAGCUUAGUUUGACGGUACCAUACCAGAAAGGGACGGCUAAAUACGUGCCAGCCGCCGCAGUAA